rnacentral:rRNA from 1 species
GUCUUUUUGAAUUUUUUUUAAAGUCUAACCUGCCCACUGAAAAUUUUAAAUGGCCGCAGUAUUUUAACUGUGCAAAGGUAGCAUAAUCAUUAGUCUUUUAAUUGAAGGCUGGUAUGAAUGGUUGGACGAGGUAUUAACUGUUUCAUAUAAAUUUAUAUUAGAAUUUUAUUUUUUAGUUAAAAAGCUAAAAUUAUUUUAAAAGACGAGAAGACCCUAUAAAUCUUUAUAUUUAAUAAUUUAUAAUUUUGUAGAUUUUUUAUAUUAUAAGUUAAAAUAAUAUUUUAUUGGGGUGAUAUUAAAAUUUAAUAAACUUUUAAUUUUAUAAUUCAUUAAUUAAUGUUUAAUUGAUCCGUUAUUAACGAUUAAAAAUUUAAGUUACUUUAGGGAUAACAGCGUAAUUUUUUUGGAGAGUUCUUAUCGAUAAAAAAGAUUGCGACCUCGAUGUUGGAUUAAGAGAUAAUUUUAGGUGUAGGUGCUUAAAUUUUAAGUCUGUUCGACUUUUAAAUUCUUACGUG